UUAGCGACGGACUUUGUAUGUCGCUAAUCUUGCUUCAUUAAUGAGAGUAUAUUUACAUUUGUUGCAACGGAAUGUUUUUGUCGCUGGGUAUUUAGAAAAACAAAUUGGAUCAAAAUAAGUUUUGUUGUUAUCUUUACCUUGUUUUUCAUAAGACUAAAAAAUAAUUUCUCCCUCACAGAAGAAUACAGCAUGAGUAAUGAGCCCCUUUCCUCCUUCUCCUCCAAUCUUCCACUAAUCUUCCCAGAUGCGCUCCUAGAUCAUCUUUUUUCUAAAAGACAGCUUCAUUUCAGGAAAAGGAACGAAACAAUCCCAAAGCUUUCUGAUAGACUAGUUAAGGAAAAUGGAGAAUCUAGAGCGUGGUUGGAUGUAUGAGAAGCUGGAUGGACGAAGGGGUAUUAAUUCUGUGUGGAAAUGUUUUUCCACUUUACGUGUUCUCAACGAAAUCGCAUGAGUGGUGACAAUGUUAGAUGUCCGUAUAAAAAAUGUCACAACAUUAAAUACAUGGAUGUUGAAACCGUUAGAUUACACCUUUUGCAAUUUGGAUUUGUUCAGAAUUAUUUUAUUUGGAUAUAUCAAGGGGAAAGACGUCUAACUAAUGAGUUGUCUUCUA